CGGCCAGUUCUUAAGAAUAUUUACCAAUGAGCAAUAUGACACAACUGUUUAUUUAAAAUUCAAGCAUAAAAUUAAACUUCAGAUAUCUAAUAUCUACUCUGACCCCACCAAUGUAAAUAAUUUGUAUCAGGUAUCAGUCACAUAUGUUAAUUUAGAGGUAGUAUUUAUUGUAGCAUUUGAAGAGAGUUGCAGAACUGCCUGUUGGUGUUUGAUUGAACUUGUAUUGCUCACCAUCUCACCACGACAUGGUACUGUACAAUUUUUAUCCUAAAAUAGUUUUAUGGGGUCUCUUCUUAUAAUGAAUAUUCUGUAUUUUUACAACAUGCAAGGAACCUAGGCUAUACGUGUCAGAAAUAGUAUUUUAUUUAUUGGGUACAAAAUGGGUGCAAUUUAUUGUACUUGGAAUGUGUUUUGGUAGAGUUUUUAUGUUACAUUUACGUCUUAUGUCUUCAGUUAUUUUUUAUUGUUAUAUGCAAUGCUAUAUUUUUAGAUUGCCUUUUAUGCUGAUUUUAUGUAUACUUUGCAGCAUAUACAGUACUCUGGCUACAACAAAUGUAAUGUAAAAUCAAUCCAUGUUAAUGUCUUUGUUUAUAUUUGUCCUGUCUUUCAGCUGAGACUGUUUGUGUUGCUUACAGCAGUGGUCUGCUGUAAUGAAGCCUGGGGAAAAGUACUGCACACUGGAGAUACCACAGACAGCCCACAAGAUGUGACGGGGGAUGAGUUUUUCAACCAGAAUGAUGACUUCAUAGGCAAUGAGCUAUAUGACACCACUGCUCAGCCCACUGCUGAUGGCCAAGUGACUGAAACAAUAAUGUAAGAUAAAUGACCAGGCUAAACCCUGCAGAAUGAGCUGAUUUAAACAGCAUUUUAAAUAAACAUACCUUACAUCAUGCA
ensembl:lncRNA